rnacentral:tRNA from 2 species
GGAAGGCAUUCGUGUCCGGUGGCAUGGCUGGGCUUCAAACCCAGUUGGGGGCGUCAGACGCUCCCAGGUAGGUUCGACUCCUGCUGCUUUCCGCCA